CUCCCUCUCACUCUCCUCCCUCCAGCUGUUUCUCUGGCUGAGGUUUGUCCCCAUCCCGUUCAGGGCAGCAGCCCCGGCAGGCAGGCAGGGAGCUCAGGACAGAGCGAGGAUCCCUGGGAGCCUGGGGGUAAGCUGUCCCAGGGGUUGUACUCUAGGAUCUCAGAAGAGAUCGUGGGUGAAUGAAUGACCUGUAAUUUGGGCAAACAGGCACAGCCAAAAGAAUGGUGUGAGGGGAGAGAAAAGUCAGAGCACCAGUUGCCUGAACAGCCUCGAGUAGCCUGGAGCCAUGGAAACCUCAGGGAAACUCUGAAGACCUGGACAGAGACCCUCCAAAGCCAGAUCCCAGAGGGAAUAAACCCCAAGAACCCAGCCAGCAAGCACCAGGGGCUUUGAGACCCCUUCCUUGCACCAUGGCAGCACUAGAUGACUAAGACAUAAGGAGAAGCAGAGGGAGAAGGAAGAGACUAAGGGAGGAAGAAGAAAGAAGGAGGAGAAAGCUUUGCCUUUGGGUGAGGAAAACUGAGGCACAGAGAAUUUAAGCAACAAGGAGGCCUUACAGGGCUGCCCUUGAGUGCAGGACCUGUGAAUGGGAGUGCGCUGCUGAGUCCAUACCGAGAAGCCUUGCUGAUAAGACAUGAGGGAAACCUGAGGGAGAGAAAAGAAGGCUGGUACUUUAAUGCCUGUCCCAGCCCAGCCGUCAGUAACAGGGGCCCACAGCCUGUCUGGAGGUGCCUGGGCGUGCUGUGAUAAGAUGAGAACAUUUUAAACAGCUGUGUGGGAUGAAGCUGGGGCUGGUUACCGCAAGGGCUCUGGUGUCCCACAGACCCGGGUCAAGUCCAGGCUCCACCAGGCCCCGGCUGGUGAUUCUGACCUGGUUAUUUAACCUGGGGGCUGGGGGGCCAAGUUGUAUCCCUGAGAUGUCCCACCAUUUAGCAGCAACCAUUCUCUACCACUUCUUUUUCUACCCCUAUCCCUCCACAUGGAGCCUGGGUUGUACAAGCGGUUUGCAAUGGAGUGCUAACCAAAAGGUUGGUGGUUUGAACCCAUCCAGCAGUUGCAGGGAAAAAACGCCUGGUGAACUGCUUCUGUAAAGAUUACAGCCAAGAAAACCCUAUGGAGCAGCCCUACUCCGUGACAUUUGGGGUCACCAUGAGUCGGGGGCCGACUCGACAGCAGCUAACAACAACCACCCCUCCACACACCAGCCUGAGCUAGCGGAAGUGUCCCUGGAGACGCUGGCCUCAGGGGUGGGAGUGAUGGAGAGGGGGCGGGAUCAGGCUGCAACUGCCUACUAGUCAUUGGGUUGAAGGAGGAGCCUCCAGGGUUCAAGAACCAGAAGAAGCUUCGGCAUAAGCAGCGCUAGGCACCUGGCCCUUGCCCACCUGCCCCCACACCUGGCACUAAGAGAAACGUGCAGGGCUGCACGUGUGGUGAGGAGAGAGGCCGAGGUGUGACCUGGGUGAUUUUUGCUGAGAGGGAAGUCCUCACCUUUCAUGUGCCAGGCUCUACAUGAGCAUCCUUGGAACCCCCUAGGUGGUGCAAAUGGUUAACAUACUCAGCUGCUAACCGGAAGGUUGGAGGUUCAAGUCCACUCAAAGGCACCCUCAGAAGAAAGCCCUGGCAAUCUACUGCCAAAGAAUCAGCCACUGAAAACCCUGUGGAGCACAGUUCUACCCUGACGUAUAUGGGGUCACCAUGAGUCGAAAUCAAUUCAACAGCAGCUGUUUUUUUUUUUUUUAAUAUAACUGGAGGGAGAAUAAUUUAUGGCCUUAUUUUCACUGAUCACAGUGUCUGUGGCAGAGAUAUUGAGAAAAACAAAGGAAAAGGGAUAAAAAGUUCUAAGUAGCAAUAUAACUAAGAGCAAAUUUUGUUGGCACAUAAACAUGUCGAAUGAACAACCUGUGCUUUACAGGCGAGGACACUGUGGUUCAGAGAGGUUGAAUAACUUACUCAGGCGCACACAGCUAAAUUAGCGGAAAAGCUGGAAUUCAAACCCGGGACUGUCUGAUUCCAAAGCCCAGGUUCAUAGCUAUCCCCCUCUGCUGCCCUUCCAGCACCUGUAAUUCAGUCCCUGGGUGGUGCGAAUUGUUAAGUACUCCACUACUAGCUGUAAAUUUGAACCCACCCAGAAGUGUCCCUGAAGACCGUCCUGGCAAUCUGUUUCUGAAAGAUCACAGCCUUGAAAAGCCUAUGGAGCACAGUUCUACUCUGCACACAUGGGGUCCCUAUGAGUUGGAAUGGCACACUUGUCCUGGGAUGUGUACACACUGUCUCUCCUGUCUUCUCCCCACCACCACCACCUCUGAAAGACCCUGGGUCAGUGAGGCCAAGGGAUGGGGAAUCAGCAUGACCACGGUGACCAGAUUUUGUUUGUGGCAUUCGUGACUCUUGGAGGCAGGGAGGGUCUCAGCCCCUGGGACCUGCCAGCCUGAGCCCCUCUCCUUGACCUGGCUUCUUCCAUGAAGAGUCAUCUGAGACUCUCUGGUCUCCGCCCAUCUGUUCAUCCAGAAUCUUCCUCUGAGCACUAGCAGUUGCCAUGGAAAUGACUCUCAAAGCAAACGUGCCCUUGUGGGCUGAGAAAAAGAAUCCUCAAGAAAAUGGGGAGAUUGUCAGGCUCCCCAGCUCUAAGGUGGGAUCUCUGAUUCCUGGAGCCUCCAAAGACCACCCGUCCUGGGUGGGGACAAGGGACAGACUUGGAACUAGCGGUAGGAUCCGCACUCAGCUCCGCAGGCCCCUUGCAGUUUCCUCUCUCCAGGCUCUCUUCUUCCAACCCAGCCCCCACAUCAGCCACAAGGGUUAGGAGCCAGGGUCAUUUUAGAAAGAUGGACACACCUCUCCUAAAAGCCAUCUAUGCCUCCCUACUGCCCAUAGAAUAAAGUUGGUGGCUUGCAGGGGAUCUCACAGUCUGAGCCCCUCCUCCACCUCAACCACAUCUCCUGCCCUCGCCCUCCUCCUCCCAGAUACACAUUCACACUCUAACCACACAUUGUCAAGCCUCUGUGGUUUUGCACACACAGUUCCUUCUGCAGUGAAUGACUUCUCUCUCCUCCGCUCGGUCUGGCAAAGGCUUCAUACCUUCUGAGGCUCAGCUCAAACAUCACCUCCUCCAAGAAGCUUCCACUGAUUUUCCCAGCUGCCUUCCGCUUGCUUUGGGCAGAGCCAGAGCCACAAGCUCAGCUACCAAUAAGGCCAGCCGGGAACACAAAAGACCAAAGCAGGGACAUUCUUCACUUUCACAAAGAAAGACGUGCAGUCCCAGUACAUUUGAAACAGAGAAUGACUUGCUUCAUCUUUCAUCAGAUUGAACUUAUUUCUGCCACAGCCAAAACCCAGGGCAAGCUCAAGGGGACAAUAGGGAAGAGUGGGGAGUGUGGGGAGCCCUCCCUAUCUGUAAUGCAGGCCCAGUGUGGCCAGUUCCCAGGAAGUCGAGGCUUUAUGUGACAUCUCAGAGCACAGAUGGUGUCAUGGUCUGUACCUCCACCUACCUCCUCUACCUAAGGGCAGGGACAGGGCCAUCUCACCCCACAGCACCUGGCGAGGAGUGUGGCACAUAGAAAGCGCCCAGUAGCAGCUUUUUGAAUGGCUGGAUGAAUGCACAGCUCAUGCUGUUUCCUGAGCCUGCCAAACCUGCUCCCACCUCAGGACAUUUGCACUUGCUGUUCCCGCUGCCUGAAACUCUUUCUUCUUCUUCCUUUUUUUUUUUUUUUUUAAAGAAAUUCAGUUUUGCUUUAUUUUGUUUUUAGAUGAAAGCUUACCGAGCAAAUUAGUUUCCCAUUCCGUAGUUUAUGAGCAAAUCGUUCUGUGGCAUCAGGUGCAAUCCCCACAACACGUCAGCACUCUGCAUUACCACCCUGAGUUCCCCAUUUCCGUUCGUCUGGUUUUCCUGCCCCUUCCUGCCUUCUUAUCUUUGCUUUUGGGCCAGUGUUAUUCUUUUGGUCUCAUAUAGAUUGUUUUUCUAAGGAGCAUUUUCCUCGUGGGUGUUACUGUUUAUUUUACAGGACUGUCUAUUAUUUGACAGAAAGGUGAUUUCCGGGGAUGGCUUCCGUUCCAAGUUAGAAGGGUGUCUAAGGGCCAUAGUCUCAGAGGGGUUCCUCCAGUCUCUCUCAGAUCAGUGAAGCUGGUCUGAUUAUGAAUUUAAAUUUUGUUCUACAUUUUUUUCCCACUCUAACCAGGACCUUCUAUUGUGGUCCGCAUCAGAAUGGUCAGUAGUGGUAGCCAGUCACCAUCUAGUUCUUCUGGUCUUAGGCUAGUGGAGGCUAUGAUUUCCAUGGUCCGUUAGCCCUUUGGACUAAUUGUUUCCUUGAGUCUUUGGUUAUCUUCACUCUCCUCUGCUCCAGAUGGAAAGAGGCCAAUAGUUGUAUCUUAAAUGGCUGCUUGUAAGCUUUUAAGACCUCUGAUGCUACUCACCAAAGUAGGAUAUAGAACGCUGCCUUUAUGCUGAUUGACCUAGAUGUCCCCCAGAACUAUGGUUGUUCGCCUUCAAGCCCAGUAACUCAGUCCUGCGAGGUGUUUGGUUGUGUCUAGGAUGUUCCCACGACUGUGCCUCUGUGUGCUCUGUUACACAUAUGAAUAUACACUCAGUACACACAAAUAUGUCUGUAGAAAUAUGUGCAGCCAAACUAUACAUGCACAUGGCUGUACUCCCAUUCGCCCCCCUACAUCUAUCCAACAUACCUAUCUACCUAUGUAUCCACUCAUAAUUUCUUGUUUGUUAUUAGUGUUGCAGGAUUGUAUAUGUUAUGGUAUUUACUGUCAUUGCCUUUUAUUCUUAUGUUCCUCUCAGUGUUUUCCCUUGCCUUGGUCAUGUUGUGCCGACUUCCCCCAUAUUGUGUACUGCCUUUCCCAUCACCAAAGUUAACACGUAUCUACUCUCUAGUUAGUGAUUUUCCCUCCCUUUCCCUCCUAUCCCUGGUAACCAUCAAAAUAUAUUUCUUUCUGUGUAUAACCCUUUCCUUGACUAUUUAUAAUAGAGGUCUCAUACAUUAUUUGUCCUUUUGUGAUUGACUUAUUUCACUCUGCAUAAUGUCCUCCAGGUUCAUCCCUGUUGUGAGAUGUUUCACAGAUUCAUCAUUAUUCUUUACGGUUGAGUAGUAUUCCGUUGUGUGUAUGUACCACAGUUUGUUAUCCAUUCAUCCAUUGAUGGGUACUUGGGUUGUUUCCAUGUUUUUGCUAUUCUAAAUAUGCUGCGAUGAACAUGAGAGUGUAUCUGUCUGCUCUUGUCAUGGCUCUUAUUUCUCGAGGAUGUAUACCUAGGAGCGGGAUUGCUGAAUCAUAUGGUAUUUCUAGUUCUAGCUUUUUAAGGAAGCAUCAUAUUGUUUUCCAUAGUGGUUAUAACAUUUUACAUUCCUACUGGCAGUGCAUAAGAGUUCCAGUCUCCCCACAACCUUGCCAGCAUUUGUUGUUUUCUGUUUUUUUUUUUUUAAUCAGUGCCAUUAUUGUCAGGGCAAGAUGGUAUCUCAAUGUUGUUUUUAUUUGCAUCUUUCUAAUAGCUAAUGGGAAACCUUGGUGGCAUAGUGGUUAAGACCUACAGCUGCUAUCCAAAGGUCAGCAGUUUGAAUCCACCAGGUGCUCCUUGGAAACCCUAUGGGGCAGUUCUACUCUGUUCCGUAGAGUAGCUGUGAGUCGGAAUUGACUGGACGGCAACAAGUUAAUGGCUAAAUGAUUGCAAGCGUUUCUUCGUGUUUUUUAACUGCUUGAAUGUCUUCUUUAGUGAAGUGUCUGUUCAUGUCCUUUGCCAUUUUUUAAUUUGGUUGUUUGUCUUUUUGUUGUUGAGGUGUUGAAGUUUUCUAUAAAUUUUAGAGAUUAGACCCUUGUCAGAUCUGUCAUAGUCAAAUUUUUUUUCCCAGUUUGUAGGUUCUCUUUUUAUUCUUGGUGAAGUCUUUUGAUGAGCAUAAAUAUUUAAUUUUUUAAGGGAUUCCAGUUAUCUAGGUUAUCUUUUGUUUGUGCAUACUUAGUUAUGGUUGGUACUCUAUUUAUGCCAUGUAUUAGGGCUCCUAGCAUUGUCCCUAUUUUUUCUUGCAUGGUCUUUAUAGUUUUAGGUUUAACAUUUAGGUCUUCGAUCCAUUUUGAGUUCGUUUUUUGUGUAAGGCGUGAAUUAUGGAUCUUGUUUCAUUUUUCUGCAAAUGGAUAUCCAGUUUUGCCAGCACCAUUUGUUAAAGAGGCUUUCUCUUCCCCAACUUUAACCCUCGAAACACUCUUUCUUCAGGUAGCCAUGCGUCGCCCUCUGCUUUCAUUCAGGUCUCCACACAAAUGUCACUUUCUCAGAGAACCCUUACCUGAGCACUCUAUCUGAAAUAGCACCCCCCCCCUCCACCCCACUCUAUGCCCAAAUCCUCUUUUUUAUUCAUAGUACAUAUCGCCACCUGGAGGAGAUCUGGUAGCUCAAGGGUUAAGCACCCAGUUGCUAACCAAAAGGUUGGCAGUUCUAACCCACUUAGCGACUCCGACUCCGAGGGAGAAAAGACCUGACGAUCUGCUCCCAUAAAGAUUAUGGUCUAGAAAACCCUGUGGGGCAGUUCUACUCUGUCACAUGGGUUACUAUGUGUCAACUGACUUGGUGGCACCUAAUAACAAUAACAUCACCACCUGCUAUUAUAUUUUACUUUAUUUUUCCAUCAUUUACAUUUUCCAGCAUUACAGUGAACCAGAACCAAAUCAAACCAAACAUGUUGCUGACGAGUCAAUUCUGACUCAUAGCAACCAAAAAGGAUGGAGUAGAACUGCCCAUAGGGUUUCCAAGGCUGCAACUUUUUGCAGAAGCAGACUGCCACAUCUUUCUCCUAUGGAGCGGCUGGUAGAUUCCAACCACUAACCUUUCAGUCAGCAGCUGAGUGCUUAAUCACUAUGCCACCAGGGCUCCUUCAAUGAACCAGACAGGCUUCUAAAACGUUGUUGUUGUUGUUAGGUGCUGUCAAGUCGGCCCCGGCCUCAUGUCGACUCCACGCACAAUGGAAUUGGGCCU